rnacentral:rRNA from 1 species
AUGUUCUUUUGGCUGUUGCUGCUGAACAGAUUAUGGUGCAAUGACCGGCUCCAGCGACGAGGAUUGCCGAACUCCUACUUCUGCCAACUUUGCCUCAGAAACCUGGAGACUGUUGAUCACCUCUUCUGGUCGUGCCCGUUCGCUCAGGCACUCUGGGGCAACCUGGCGACCUGGAACGGCUGUGAGACCUUGAAGCUGCACGCGGACAGUCCCGGCCUGGACGGGGUGGGUCGCGUGGUCAAGGUUGUGGAUAGCACCAAACCUGAGCUCAGAAAGGGGAUCAAGUCAGUGACGCUGCUUGCGUUGUGGGAAGUGUGGAGGCACCGAAACGACUGCACUUUCAGAGGGUGGGAGGCCUCUUUGAGUGAGGUAAUACAGGCGAUCAGAAGGGCGAUUGAGCUAUGGCGACAGGCGGGUGCAUCCUGCAUGCUGCAUCCUUUCACAUUGCCACCAGAAGGGAUAGCAUGA